rnacentral:rRNA from 1 species
GUUUUCAUCUUAAUUUUAUUAUGAUUUUAUUUUUAUUUUAAAAAAAAGAAAAAAUUAAGAAUAAGGCAAUAAGAUACAUUUACAAGCGUUGCACGGCUGUCUUCAGUUAAUGUCGUGAGACUUUGGUUAGUUCCAUUAAAUUAACGUAAACCCUUACUUUAUUUUUUAUAUAGAGUAGUUCCCCACUAUAUUGGAUAUGAUAACAGGG